ACUCAAAUCUCCGCAUCACAAGAGAAUACAAAGCACCCUUAGAAUUAUGCAGCAGGGAGAACAUUUUAAUCCCCCUGGGGACAGGCUGUGACACUAUGUUAACAGGCCCGUGUGGAACAGUGCUCAACCUGGGAAGGACACUUGUCCCCUCAAAGGGGACCUGUCAUUGUUCCCAGCUAUCUGGAGACAAGGUCAAACACAUUGGCUGAGCCGCCUCGACAAAUACCUGCCCUCCACUCAGAGGCAGAAUGUCAUUGCUGAGAAUGAGGAAAUGGAGUGAAAGUGGAAGAACUGCAGAGCGUGGGCUCCUGGGGACUGGCCGCGGCUGGGACGCCCACCCCAUGCAGACUCUAUUAUAGCCUUCGCAGAAGCAAACACUGUAAUCAAGGUUGCAGGAUUUCUGUUCCUUUGCUUUCCCUCUCUUUUGACUACAUAUUCUAUUUCAGCGCUGUUGUGAAUUAUCUACUGGGAGGGGAAGUGGGAGAAAGUGAGGAGAACUCAGUCCCUUGGGAAUUGUAAGAAUGUAAGAAGACACAGUGGCCUUUCUCAGCUGGGAAACAGGACUGCACAGGUCUCCUUUUUUCCAUCUUACUGAGCUACGGUAAAGUCGGCAGAUACUUGUUAAGUAUGGCUUUUGUGAUGCUUCCAGCAUGUAGCAGCAAUCUUCCCAGAUGUAGCUGAGGCCCAAACCCAGGGAACCCCGUGCCAAACAGAGGGGACGCUCCACCUCCCUAACUGGAUGCGAAUGCCUCCUCUGCGAAACCCUCCUUUGUGAAGCUUGGUGGGACUAGGAAAGGCUUGGGCUUUGCUGAUGUGGUUGCAUCUCAGCUCCUAAACAGAGUGGGAUGUAGUAUCUGAAUAAGGGCUUAGCCUGGCUUCAGAGGAACCUGACAGAGAUUCAACCCAGGGCCAAGCUUGUUUCUAAUUGAAAUGGGCUUACCUGUCCCCAACACCUGCACAACAAGACUCACCCAACAUGCCCACCACUGCUAUGGCAGGUACCUCUGUAAUGCUCCAUCUUAAUAGUCUACAAGACAUCACGGGCUGGGCACAGGUGGCUUAUAUCUGUAAUCCCAGCACUUUGGGAAGCCAAAGUAGGGGGAUAGCUUGAGCCCAUGAGUUUGAGACCAACCUGAGCAACAUAGCAAGACCCUGUCUCCAUAAAAACUUACAAAUUAGCCGGCAUUAUGGCAUACACCUGUAAUCCCAGUGACUCGGGAGGCUGAGGUGGAAAGGAUCACUUGAGCCCAGAAGUUCAAAGUUACAAUGAGCUAUGAUUGCAUCACUGCACUCCAGCCAGAGCAACAGAGUGAGACUCUAUCUUAAAAAAAAAAAAAAAAAAAAAAAAAGAGUAACACAACUUUAACACAACUUCCAAAAACUCAUAUGCCUUAGGAGCCAUGAGAGAAACUGCUUCCAUUCGACAAAUGAGCAAUGGCCAAUGCUACUCUGGGUCCCAUUGCCAAUGUUUGCCUAACAUUAGUAAAUCACUCCUGUUUAUACUGGGGUUUUGCAGUCAUUUUCUCUGGAAGUUCUGUGUUGUGAAUUAGCUGGAAGGCAGCAGAGUCUGGGGAGCUCCUUAAGAGAUGCAAAGAGCUGCAGGGAGUGGGCAGACAGCCAUAGCCUUCCUACUCCUCGGGGCUCGUUGGCCAAAGAAAAGUCAUGUUCUGGCUGCCAGUGACAUCUGGAGAGCAAUUUUACUUUUAUUUCUACAUUUUACAAUGUUCGUUUUUUAUUGACUAGGGAGAUACAGUUUAUGAUUAAAAAAUAUUGACUUGUCAUAGAGUCAUUCUGGUCGCAUUCAUUUUGGCAUCGGAUUACCUGGGAUCAAAUUCCUGCUCCGGCAUAACUCUGCCGUCUUUAGCACUUAGUGUACAUGAUCUCUCUAAAUGUCAUAGCAACCCUGCAAGGCAGGCACAGUAAGCAUCUUCAUUGCACAAACUGGACAACAAAAGCUUAAGACGGUUAAGAGAUGUCCUCAGAAUCACAGAAUAUGUAAAUGCAUGAGCAGGAAUUUCAUCCCAGGCAGUCUGGUUCCAAAAUGAGCAUAACCAGCAUGGGUACUGAAAUAGUUAUGAUGCUAACCACCCCCCGUGUUAGCCAGCUCCAGCUGCCAUAACAAAGUGCCACAGACUGGAUGGCUUAAACAACAGACAUUUAUCUUCUCACAGUGGAGGCUGGAAGUCUGAGAUCAAGGUGUUGGCAAGGUUGGUUUCCCCUGAGGCCUCUCUCCAUGGCUUGCAGAUGGCUGCCUUCUCCCAUGUCCUCACAUGGUCUCCCUCUGAGUGUGUGAGCAUCCCUGGGGCUCUGUGUGUGUCCUCAUCUGCUUACAAGGACACCAGACAUACUGGAUUAGGGCCCACUCCAGUCAUCUCAUUUUAACUUGGUUACCUUUUUAAAGAUCUUGUCUCCAAAUAUGGCCACAUUCUGAGGUGCUGUUAUGUUAGGGCUUCAACAUGUGAAUUUUGGAGGAUGUGAUUCAGCCCCUCACACCCGCAUUUCUCAGAUGAGGAAACUGAAGCACGGAGCAGUUAAGUCACACAGAACAUCAAAGGCAGAGCUGGCAUUUCAACCCCGGGCAGACCAGUCCGAGGGUUCUGCUGCCAACCUCUGUGCCAGUUUCCCAGGCUCUAGUGCUGGGUCAGACCAUUGCUUUACAUCCUGGCUGUUAGGAAACAGGCGCUGGGAUUCAGGAGAGAGGGUAGAUAUCCAAGGCAAGAGAAUAAAGGUGAGUUGGAGAUUGUGUUUCUGAUCUCCGGUCUUACAAUACAUCCGCAGAGAGAAGAGAAGUUUCUAGAAGGCAAGCCCUCUGGGUCAGAUCCCUCCAAGGGAACCUCUGCACCCUGGCCCUAAAACCUGGCCCCAUUAAGUGUUCAAGCCUGGAGUCAGACAGAGUGGGCUUCCCUGGGCCUUGAGCAAAUCGCUUAACAGUUUGAACCUCUGUUUCCUCAGUGAGAAAGAUACACAAGGCUGACGGUGAGUUUUCUGCCUUGAGGCACGUUUCGCACUCAGCACAAUGCCUGGCACACAGCAGGCUGUUCGUAACUGCAAGCAAUCAUGAUUGGGGUCCCACCUCCCAGGCCCCCUGCAGGUGCAGCAGGAGGAGCAAAAACAGUGAUCAUGCCCAGUCUGUGAGGAGGUGGCACCAGGCUGCAGCCGUGAGUCUUGAGCUGAGCUAUAUUCUCCCUAGGAACAAGGAUAUUGGAGCUCGAUUCUACUCCUCCAGGUUGCAGGCAGAGCCAAAUACACUGAGAGGCUUAACAUUCCAGAUUAAUUCUUCCCUCCAGUGGUUUGCGAAAGCUGUGAGUUUGAAAAGAAACAAACUCAAACUUUGAGAGUAAGAGCGGGGAAGUGGGAGAUGAUAUCAUUUCAGACAAGCGUGGGGUUGGUGGACAUUUCACAACAAAGCCCAGUGGCACAGGCUGUAUUUGGGCUCUCCUGCUGUGCUGAGGGGCCAGCAAGAUUGCCUCGCUGGGAAUCAAACUCAUCCUGGUUUCCUGUCUUGGGAUCUCAGGUGGCUAGAAUGGGCUGCUAUUCCCCAGGAGAGAAGAAAGCAGCCCCAGGAAGCCUGGCCACGAGAACUGUGAGGUGUGGUGGGGCCUUGCUAUGCCCUGGACUGGACAAGAGGCACCCUGGGCUCUGGACAGACAGACCUUCAGCAAACUGCAUCUGUGACCGAGGGCAGGCCCUUUAUCCAAUAGCCCAGAGAUGCCCCUCUCCUCACCUAGGAGACAAAACCAACACGGUCUGCAUAGCCUCCUCCUCCAGGACAUUGGAAGGGCUAAAUAAGAUCAGAAAAGCAGCCAGGCAGCAGGGCCACCUCAUGUGCCCCAGUGCAGGUGACAGAGCUCCAAACAAUUCACACUGCCUGAAAUAUGCAGGAAACACAACCGCAGUAAGCUCAGGACAGUAGAUUUCCUCUCGUUCUUCUUUGUAGAAGAGAUGGGUUUUGCCAGGUUGGCCAGGCUCAUCUUGAUCUCCUGACCUCGUGAUCUGCCCUCUUGGCCUCCCAAAGUGCUGAGAUUACAGGUGUGAGCCACUGGGCCCAGCCAAGGAAGUGGAUUCUUAACCACAGUCGCUCUCUCUCACCACCACUGCUCUCAGGUGAGGACCCUGGGGCCCUCUCGCUGGGUUUCACUGCAGAGGCUGACUGGCCUUUGCAUCAACACCGACCAGGCACUGCGCCCCUCACUUCCCUGAGCUCCUCCCCCAGCUAGCUCCUGGCUCCUGCCCUGGGCCUGCAUGCUCUCCCAUUCUCCUUUAGGUGGCUCUGAGUGGAACGGGGACAAGACAGCGUUUGUUCCUACUAGAGCACAAUCCCAGGGCAGUAUUGUGCACAGGGCCAGGAGUUUCUUUCCUUCCUCUUGCCAAACCUUCCAACAGGUGUGGUGCAGGAGGUGCGGGGAGCAGCACUGACUUCUGAAUCCUCGACUGCAGAGCCGUUGAGGGUGUCCGAGCUGGGCAUCUGUACUUUCUCAAGGAGACUCUCGGAUCAAGGGCACAGGGAUGGGGGGAGGGACUGGGCAGCAGCAGUGUCUGGAAGCUGCUGGGCAAUGCAAGGGAGACACAGGGAAGACCUGGACUCUAGGUGAGCCAAACGGAAUGGAAAGAAGUGAAGACACGUGAGAGAAGUUGUCGGCGAGACCCAACAGAAUUUGCCAGUAGCUUGCAAUUGGCAGGUUUGAGUGACGCAAGAGGGACAGACCACUGGAGGCCUUGAGGCAGGCUGACCAGGAAGAUGACUGUCCAGGAGUCCCAGCUAAGGAAGGAGGGAAAGAGAAGGUGUUCUGCAACCCGUGGGGUUGAGGGUAUAGGGGGACAAACAGCUGGGAGCCUCUGAGUGGAACAGAGCUGGGUACCUAUGUGUGGCCUGAGGAGAAAUUGACAGCCUAGGCACCCACCUCGGGCCACCUGGAGGGCAUUAGCCCAGCCACAGUCCAGGGAGGGAGGAGGACCUGAGGCCAACCUCGCAGGGCUUCAGCAAAGGCAGCAGAACGUCCUGUCCAAGCUGCCCUCCCCUCACAAGGAAGACUCCCAGGAAAGGCCUGGCGGCAGCAAAGAGCACUUCAAGGUGCCAUGUUCUCAGGCUGGAACCAUUUCUGCCCAUUGUAGAUAUCUGUCCUGUAGGUAACCCUAUGACACACCCGGGAUGUUGCUGCAUGCUCUGGCAUGUAGAGCACAAUCCAGGGCAGUAAGUGAAACUUAGCUCAGGGAGAUUCUUUGGGAAAAUAAUGAAUUACCACAAGAGUUUUUCACAUGGUGUGGGGAUCAAAACUCACCCCAAAUUCUACAAGAAGGCAGACUGCAGGCAGAUAAAAUGCUAACUUAAAAAAAAACAAAACUAUUUCCCUAGGUAUUUGUGGGCACAGGUGGUAUUUGGUUACAUGAGGAGGUUCUUUCACGGUGAUUUGUGAGAUGUUGGUGCACCCGUCACCCGAGAAGUACACAUUGUAUGCAAAGUGCAGUCUUUUAUCCCUCCCCUGCUUCCCAGCCCUUCCCCCAGAGUCCCCAAAGUCCCGUGUGUUGUUUUUACGCCUUUGCGUCCUCAUAGCUUAGCUUCCACUUACCAGUGAGAACAUACGAUGCUUGGUUUUCCAUUCCUGAGUCACUUCAUUUAGAAUAGUGGUCUCCAAUCCUAUCCAGGUGCUGAAAAUGCCAUUCAUUCAUUUUUUUAAAUGGCUGAGUAGUAUCCCAUCCAAAAUACUGGCUUGUGCCAAAAGUAAACUAGGCAUGACAGGAGUUUGUAUGUCCUUCCCAUGGCUGGUUAUCCCCAGUGGUGUCUAUCUCCAUCCUGCCUAGGAUAACACUGAGAAUUGCCUUAACUUCCUACAUCCUGGUAUGAGCAAAUGACCCACUGGAUACUUGAAGGAGCUUAGCUUUCUUUUUAUCUUGAACAGACAUGCAGACAGGUGAAUCGAAGGGCGAGGAAGCAAAAAUGCCUUUCCUGACCCCCGUGGAGAAGCAGAGCUGGCCUGGCUGGACUACACAUUGUUAUUAUUGGUUCCCAGCCUCUGGGCAUCUACCUGAAGGCCCCAGGAGGCUUCCUAGAAGAAUCUUUUUCCUCCCUACAUGUCCCCACCAUAAUCCAUACCACUUGUAUCAGUUUGCUAGUGCUGCUGUGUAACAAAGCACCACAGCCUGGCUGGCUGAAGCCAGAUAAACUUCUUGUCUCUCAGUUCUAGAGGCCAGAAGUCUGAGUUCAAGGCAUUGGCAGGCUUGGCUCUUUCUCAAGGCAGUGAGAAGGCAACUGCUCCACACCUCUCCCCUAGCAUGUGAUGGUUUGCUGGCCAUCUUCGGCAUUCUGUGGCUCAUGGAAGCAUCACCCUCAUCUCUGCCUUCAUCUUCACAUGGUGUUCCCCUUGCAUAUGUGUCGGCCUCCAAAUUUUCCCUUUUUAUAAAGAUUCCAGGAUGACCUCAUCUUAGUAAUUAUAUCUGCAGUGACCCUAUUUCCAAAUACAGGUCUCAUUGAGGGUUGGGGCAUUAGCAAUUGAACAUGUAAAUGGGAAGGCAGUGCCCAGUUCAGCCCAUCCCAUGACUCCUCUGUCUCUUCCAAAACCUUUCACAAAGCCUCAUUCCUAGAUGGAAUGAGGAAUGGUAACAACCACGAUCCUCCCCUCACAUGAUCUGUGCCACAAGGGAAGAUGAGAACCUUCAGCUGCUGGAGGAAGCACUGCGGCAGAAACGUAGGCCCCUAUCCAGGCUGAGCUGAGCUUGGCUUUCUGGAGCAAGAAACCUCAACAGACCAAGCUGCUGCCGGCUCUCACCUUGCCAGGCCUAUUGUGCUCAGACACACAUCACUCCAUCCUCUGGAGUUUGCAGAGGCAAGACCCACCGAGAAGGCGGUCUUCCUGUCCAGGAUGCUCUUCCCUGAGAGAAGUGGAUUUAUUCUUUUUUUUUUUUUUUUGAGACAGAGUUUCACUCUUGUUACCCAGGCUGGAGUGCCAUGGCCCAAUCUUGGCUCACUGCAACCUCCGCUUCCUGGGUUCAGCCAAUUCUCCUGCCUCAGACUCCUGAGUAGCUGGGAUUACAGGCACGCACCACCAUGCCCAGCUAAUUUUUUGUAUUUUUAGUAGAGACGGGGUUUCACCUUGUUGACCAGGAUGGUCUCGAUCUCUAGACCUCGUGAUCCACCCGCCUCGGCCUCCCAAAGUGCUGGGAUUAUAGGCAUGAGCCACCGCGCCCAGCCUUUUUUUUGUUCGGAGACAGAGUGUUGCUCUGUCACCCAGGCUGGAGUGCAGUGGAGCGAUCUCGGUUCACUGCAACCUCCACCUCCCAGGUUCAAGUGAUUCUCCUGCCUCAGCCUCCUGAAGAGUUGGGAUUACAGGCGCAUGCCACCACGCCUGGCUAGUUUUUGUAUUUUUAGUAGAGACAGGGUUUCAACAUGUUGGUCAGGCUGGUCUCAAACUCCUGACUUUGCAAUCCACCCGUCUUGGCCUCCCAAAGUGCUGGGAUUAAAGGCAUGAGCCACCGUGCCCGGCCGUAUUUAUUCUUAAGUUCAGAUGUUUGUCUACCCACUUAAAACACUCUGUUGAAUAAAAAUUACUCAAAGAACAUAUGGAGCCCUUGUCCAUGUAAAACAACAAACACCAUUCUGUUCCUGGAGCUGUCUG